CAUAUCAAUAAGCGGAGGAAAAGAAACCAACAGGGAUUGCCCCAGUAACGGCGAGUGAAGCGGCAAGAGCUCAAAUUUGAAAGCUGGCUCCUUCGGGGUCCGCAUUGUAAUUUGCAGAGGAUGCUUCGGGAGCGGUCCCCAUCUAAGUGCCCUGGAACGGGACGUCAUAGAGGGUGAGAAUCCCGUAUGGGAUGGGGUGUCCGCGCCCAUGUGAAGCUCCUUCGACGAGUCGAGUUGUUUGGGAAUGCAGCUCUAAAUGGGUGGUAAAUUUCAUCUAAAGCUAAAUAUUGGCCGGAGACCGAUAGCGCACAAGUAGAGUGAUCGAAAGAUGAAAAGCACUUUGAAAAGAGAGUUAAAAAGCACGUGAAAUUGUUGAAAGGGAAGCGCUUGCGAUCAGACUCGCUCGCGGGGUUCAGCCGGCAUUCGUGCCGGUGUACUUCCCCGCGGGCGGGCCAGCGUCGGUUUGGGCGGUCGGUCAAAGGCCCUCGGAAGGUAACGCCCCCUCGGGGGCGUCUUAUAGCCGAGGGUGCAAUGCGACCUGCCUGGACCGAGGAACGCGCUUCGGCUCGGACGCUGGCAUAAUGGUCGUAAGCGACCCGUCUUGAAACACGGACCAAGGAGUCUAACAUCUACGCGAGUGUUCGGGUGUCAAACCCGUGCGCGCAGUGAAAGCGAACGGAGGUGGGAACCCUUUUGGGUGCACCAUCGACCGAUCCUGAUGUCUUCGGAUGGAUUUGAGUAAGAGCGUAGCUGUUGGGACCCGAAAGAUGGUGAACUAUGCCUGAAUAGGGCGAAGCCAGAGGAAACUCUGGUGGAGGCUCGUAGCGGUUCUGACGUGCAAAUCGAUCGUCGAAUU
rnacentral:rRNA from 1 species